CUAAACACAUGGAACAGUGCUUCGCACAUAGAAGAAGGUGCUGAGAAAUCAUCAAAGAGCAGAUGUGUGAGCAUACAAAGGGAUGAGCGAAUGGUGCUCUUGACCUCUAUGCAUCUUCUCCUCCUAGGGCGCCGGCCUGUUGUCAGCAGAAGUUUCACCAUCUCAGGCUCCUUGUUGGUGUUUCUCAUCAUAUUCACAGUUCUGGGCUUCACCCACUUCCUUAUGGUCCUGAUCCGUGCCCUGUUCAGACAUUACUCUACCAGGGCAAAUUGGUCUAUAUGACUGUCUGCCUCAGACCUGGAGAAUAAAACCGGACAAGCAAGGAGACCCGGUGGGAUCAUUAGAGAGGCUGCAAAGAUGCCCCAUCUCAGCAUCGCCAGUGACAGAGAGUUGGAACCACAGCGCAUGUCGGAUGAAUGUCAUGGUUAGAAACUGCUGGGCAACGAGACUCACUGGUGUGCGAAAUGUUCACAACUUGAUGCCGAGUUAGAAACGCACAGUACAGACCUGCAUCUGAUAAGACCAUGUUGUGAAAAGUAUAGAUUAGUUAACUGAUAUAGGUACAAUAUUACAGUAUGUGUACACACACACACACAUAUGCUAUAUAUAUCCAGUGAGAUGGUUGGAUGGCAUCGUCGACUCAAUGGACAUGAGUUUGCACAAACUCCGAGAGAUAGUGAAAGACGGGACCCUGGUGUGCUGCAGUCCAUGGCGCAAAGAGUGGGACAUGACUUAGCAAGUGAACAACGAUGACAAUAUCCACAUAUAGAUAUACCAUAUGUAUCUCCAUAUAUAUAAAAAUAUCUGUGCACAAAUUGUAGAAACUGUUAACUCUUAAUGGUGCUAUCUAAAUUUCCCUUUUUGCACUUUACCGUAUGCUCUGAAGUGGUUUUUUUUUUUUUUUCCUUCUCAAAGUGUAUACGUUGUUUUCAUAUUUAACAUAAGAACCAAU
ensembl:lncRNA